GGAACCGGCAGUCGCGGCGCAGACUGACUCCCGGAGCGCGGAGCAGCUGGUGGACCUGCAGGGCUCCGGGGGGUCCGCGCUCCGGCCGUGCGCCACCCACCGCGCCCCUGCGCCCGGACCCUGCGCCCCCGGCGCCCCCCGCGCCCCUGCUAUGUGCCCCUUGCGCCCCCGCACCACGCUGCUCACGCUUUUUGCCGCGCUGCUGAUCGCGCACCGCGCAGCCCUGGGCGAGGCUCCGUACUUGGUGCGCGUGGACGCGGCCCGUGUGGUGCGUCCCCUGCGGCCCUUCUGGAGGAGCACCGGCUUCUGUCCCCCACUGCCACACAGCCGGGCUGACCAGUAUGACCUUAGCUGGGACCAGAAGCUCAACCUGGCCUAUGUGGGCGCCAUCCCUCAUGGUGGCAUCGAGCAGGUGCGGACCCACUGGCUGCUGGACCUCAUCACGGCCAGGGGGUCGGCUGGAGAGGGCCUGAGCUACAACUUCACCCACCUGGACAGGUACCUGGACCUUCUCAGGGAGAACCAGCUCCUCCCCGGCUUUGAGCUGAUGGGCAGCCCGUCUGGACACUUUACCGACUUCGAGGACAAGCAGCAGGUUUUUGAGUGGAAGGACCUGGUCUCCCUCCUGGCCAGAAGAUACAUCGGUAGGUACGGACUUGCCCAUGUCUCCAAGUGGAACUUCGAGACGUGGAACGAGCCAGACCACCACGACUUUGACAACGUGUCCAUGACCAUGCAAGGCUUCUUGAACUACUACGAUGCCUGUUCCGAGGGCCUGCGAGUGGCCAGCCCAGCUCUGCGCCUGGGCGGCCCUGGCGACUCCUUCCACCCACCGCCGGCCUCCCCGUUGUGCUGGGCCCUCCUGGAGCACUGUCACCAUGGCUCCAACUUCUUCACUGGGGAGCUUGGUGUGCGGCUGGACUACAUUGCCCUGCACAAGAAGGGCGCAGGCAGCUCCAUCUACAUCCUGGAGCAGGAGAAGGCCACCGUGCGGCAGGUACAGCACCUCUUCCCCAGGUUCGCCGACACCCCCAUUUACAACGACGAGGCAGACCCGCUCGUGGGCUGGUCCCUGCCGCAGCCGUGGAGGACCGACGUGACCUACGCAGCCAUGGUGGUGAAGGUCAUCGCGCAGCACCAGAACCUGCUGGUAGCCAACGACAGCUCCUCCAUCCGAUACGCGCUCCUGAGCAAUGACAACGCCUUCCUGAGCUACCAUCCGCACCCCUUCUCGCAGCGCACGCUCACAGCGCGCUUUCAGGUCAACAACACCCGCCCACCCCACGUGCAGCUGCUGCGCAAGCCGGUGCUCACUGCCAUGGGGCUGCUGGCCCUGCUGGACCGUGAGCAGCUCUGGGCCGAGGUGUCGCAGGCGGGGGCGGUGCUGGACAGCAACCACACAGUGGGUGUCCUGGCAAGCGCGCACCGCCCUGCUGGCCCCGUGGACGCCUGGCGCGCCACGGUGCUGGUCUACGCGAGUGACGACACGCGCGCCCAUGCCAACCGCAGUGUUGCCGUGACCCUGCGCCUGCACGGGGUGACCCCGGGCCCGGGACUCGUCUACGUCACGCUCUACCUGGACAACCGGGUCUGCAGCCCACACACCGAGUGGCAGCGCCUUGGCCGGCCAGUCUUUCCCUCCGCAGAGCAGUUCCGGCGCAUGCGCGCGGCCGAGGACCCGGUAGCCUCAGCACCACGCCCCUUCCCCACCGGCGGCCGCCUGACGCUGCGCCCACAGCUCCCGCUGCCCUCGCUGUUGCUGGUGCACCUGUGCGCGCGCCCUGAGAAGCCGCCAGGCCAGGUGACCCGGCUCCGUGCUCUGCCCCUGACCCGCGGGCAGCUGCUUUUGGUCUGGUCGGAUGAGCACGUGGGCUCCAAGUGCGUGUCUGUGGACCUAUGAGAUCCAGUUCUCCCCAGAGGACAAGGGGUACACUCCCAUCAGCAGGAAGCCAUCAACUUUCAACCUUUUUGUGUUCAGCCCAGACACAGUUGUCGUCUCUGGCUUCUACCGGGUUCGAGCUGUGGACUACUGGGCCCGGCCAGGCCCCUUCUCAGACCCUGUGCAGUACCUAGAGGUCCUUGCCACGUGAGGGCCACCACUGCCCAGUGACUGAGCCUGUGCUGACCAGCGGACCCAGCGGCCAGGAGCGGAGGCAGGCUGGACCACCACGGGCCCAUCAGCUCGUCUUCAGCUCUGUUUGUCCCCUCCUGUCCACUCACACACCCCCUUAAAGUGCCUUUCCAUAUGUUGGUCUUGGGGUUGGCCUUUGUGGAUGGGCACCGGACAGAUGUGCCCGGCUGGAGCAAGGCCUUUUCCACCUCCUUCCCAUUCAGAGCGCUCUCCCCGACCUGUGGGGCUGGGGUGGAAGUGGGUUGAGCACAGUCAGGCCUGAGCUCCUCAGGGAGGAGCAGGUCUGGCGUCUCUGGCGUCAUUGCUGGGUGCUGCAGACCCUGUUCCCAGCCCUGCCUCUCUACCUGUUCUGCGGAGCUGAGGCUGCGCCGGGGGUGCACCUGGGUCAGGAUGGAGCCCAGGGAGGACCCACUUCCUGAGACUGGGGGAAGGUGGAGGGUGGAAGGUAGAGGGGAAGGUGGGGCUUCCAGGCUGCUUGGCCCAGACUGGGCAGCGGCAGAAAAGGCCCACAGUGUCCACUGCGGGCUAUGCCCCCGCCGUCAUUCUCCUUCCAUAUCUGGCCCCAGAAGGAAACAGCUGGUGUGCUCAGAGGAGGACAACUUGGGGAUGUGUGUAGAUAUGUGGGCAGGGCAGGAAAGCCACAAGGGGGGCGCCCCAGAGCAGACGGAGCAGAUGAAGGACAAAGGUGAGGAGACGCCACCUGGUGAGGAGUAGAGACCUUGGGCCCAGGGACACAGCCAGCCGGGGGGCGUGCAAGCAGGAGUGGGGCAAGGAGGCCCCCAUCCCACUCUCCUCCUUCCACUGCCCUCCGGGGUUGCCCUGGGCUCAGGGUGAGUGUGGGAUGUGGACCUGGAUGGGCAGAUGGAAAACAAGGCCUAGUCGACCCUCUGGCUCCUGCGCACCUGCCGGGUCCAUCUGUGUGGAAAGCUCAGGGGCCUCCAAGACCCGCCAGCUGCCUCACCCUGAGUGGGAGGUGUCCAUUUGUCACACUCCUAUCUGAACCCCAAAGCCAGCACCUGUUCCCCAGCCUCUUUCCCCACGUGGGGCCUCAGGGCUCCGUGCCUCCGUCUUUCUGGGGGCCCCAGUCCUUGUGUGUCUGGGGACCGUUGUUCACUGACGUCACUGCACAGAGGGGCAGUGGGGGUAGCUGGGAGGCCCCCUGGGUUCCGGGCGCUGUCUUCUGCCCCACCAUGAAGCCCUGGCCUGGUCGGCUCAGCUCCUGUAAAUAAAGACCACAGCCCAGGCGGCGCCAACCACAGACGUUUAGCUCCCCAUGGUCUGGCAGCCGGAAGUCCAAGACCAAGGUUGGUUUCUUCUGAGGCCUCUCCGUGGCUCCCAGUGUGUGUCUGCGUCCUGAUUGCUUCUCACAAGGACGUCAGUCAUGGGAUCAGGGCCCACUUGCUUGACCUCAUUUGAACCACCCUGUUGAAGACCCUGUCCCUCGUUAUGAUCACAUUCUGAGGUGCUGGGGUUUAGAACUUCAACGUCUGCGUUGGGGGGUACAGCUCAGCCCGUACCAGGCUCUGACCCAUUUGUCUGUGGGCUCAGGAGCCGUCGUUGGAGUGGUGAAGUGGCCUCUUCUCCACCUGCUGGUUCAGCGGCCUGAGGACCCCCUAUGGUCAGUACUGGGAGGGUGCCCAGGUCCUUCCUCGGACACCAGGGGCUUCACACCCGCCGAGUGGGAGCCACCAGGGCAGCACGGCCGCCCGCUCUGCCCUCCCUCCAGCUCCAUGUGUGCUGGCUUUGGGCAAAGCAGCAGUACAUUCAGAUCUGCGCCUCUGCUGGGUCAGAGCAACCUGUGUAGAUGUACCUGCUGCCCCCAACCGAGUCCCAGCACCACACACUGUGCCUCUUGGAAGUGGGCAGUAGGGGGCCUGGCCCAAUGGCCUAGUGGUUAAAUUUGGCACACUCUGCUUUGGUGGCCUGGGUUCAGUUCCCAGUGUGGACCUACACCACUCGUCAACCAUGCUGUGGUGGUGGCUCACAUACAAAAUAUGGGAAGAUUGGCACAGAUGUUAGCUCAGGGUGAAUCUUCCUCAGCAAAGAAAAAGAAGUGGGUGGUAUAAGGUAAAACAGCUUACUUCACUUUAAAUAGGACAUCCCAACAUUUCCCAGACCGUGGGAUCCCUAAAACCUCCCUAGAGGCUCCUGGAUUUCCACAGGGUUUCUCUCCCACCUGCUGUGGGCUCGAGUCUCACUGAGACAUCAGGGUCCCUCUCAUCCACCCAGUCACCCAGUCCAAUUAGCAUAAAGUCAUGAAGGAACUAGGAUCCUCUGGGUCACGUUAAGACAGUGGGAGUGUUGGUGCCAUCGAGGCCAAUGGUGAAGGGUGCUGACAUCCCCGUCAUGUGAGGCACGCUGCUGCUGGUUUCUUCCCGCAUGGGGAUGGGAAAGAAGGUGUUUGCCUGGUGAGCUGUGGCAGGUGCCAUGGGCCGAUGCCUCCAGUAGAUCCGCGUCCGUCCAGUCCUCAGCUGUGAUGGGCGUCACUGAGGGUCACGUUGCGGUCCUCUGUCAUUCAACACCCAGCUGGCACGUUAUAUAGAGUACACGGAGGCGGGCCCCUGCAUCUGCAUAGUUUCUGAUGUUGGAACUAAUCUCUGCAGUGUCCCAGAAAUGUGUUAUUUUUGUGUGGCAAGGAGGGACAGGCCCCUGGGAUUCCAUAAUAGCCCUUCCUCCACAGGUCGGGGGACCAAUGUGGGGAUGCUGCCACUGGGUACAUACGAGUGUCCCACUCUACAUUCUGGGGUCAAAGCCCUUGGCUCAUGGACUCAGGCCAGUGCUUGUCGACUGUCAGGUCCCUCCAGCCCCGUCCCCCCAGUGACGAUGGUUUCUAGGUGAUGAGUUGGCAUCAGUUCAGAGCCAUUAUCCGAGAACCCCCAGGAGGUCGGGUCUCCUCUCCUCAGGGCAGUACCUGCAAAUGGCCACAGGUGCCCCUUAGAGAUUUGGGAAUAUUCGGAGACCGUGUUGUGGGUUCUUCUUCAGGGGACCUGGCCUCCCCCUCUGUCAAGGGCUCUGGCUCCAUGAAUGGGCUUCAGUCUGGGACCUGGGCACGAGGCCCCAAGCCUCCUACGACGGGCGGUGGCGGAGGACGGCCUGCCAGCCCUAUGGUGUUUCCCCCGCACGUGCUUCAGGCAACACUUCUGAAGCUGCUUGCUUGUUUCAUUUCUUGGGACCCUGCAUGCGAUCGGUCAUCUCGUGUUUGCUGAGGACCCUUGAGGGUCCAUUGUGCAAGAAAUGUGAGUCACCUGGGUGUUGUUAAACUCAGGUCUGACUUGCUAGUCUGUCUGGGGUGGGCCUGAGGCUGCAUUUCCGACAACAGGUGCUGCUCAUCCACACACGGGCACAGCAGGCCCCAUGGUGUGCGGGGACAUGGCCGCAGGCUGGGUUGAGGCAAGCCCCCAGCCUCCUGACCACUAACUCCACUCCCAGGGGCUCAGGCCUGCCCAGCCCCAUGCCCGUCCGUCGCUGCACCCACUGCACCUGCGUGUUCCGUGGUGGAGGUGGCUGCCAUGCUGCUCCCUGGCUCCCACAGCACCAUCAGGGAGGUCUGGGGUGCAUCUUCCUUGGAGAGCCAUCCAUCAUGGCUGUGCUGGGAUCUCAUCUUCUUUUGCUUCUGGCAACAGAGAAAUGGCCAAGGCGCAGACGUGGCAGGCUUUAGCCGGGGGUGGGGUCCCCCAGUGAGGGGACCCGACGGUUUCCAUCUCCUGCCUGUCUGUCCUGUGUCCUUCCCAGGUCUCAGGUGCCCCACCCUUCCUUGCUUGUUGCCAUUCAUCAGCAGACAAGGGCCUCGGGCUGCAGCCUGUAGAACCGGGCCCUGGGCACGGCCCUGUGGCCACGGAGCCCCUGACCCCCACGUGCCCUCGGCUCUCAGCUUCGCCACUUCCCAUUCAAGGGAGGAGGAGGGACGCCCAGUCUUCAGAAGCACUGCUGUUGCCGUAGCAACCAGCCCCCUGUCUUCCACCUGCACUUGGCCAGCCUGGUAAUUGGAGUAGCUGCGAUGCCGGUUCCCACGCACAAGGUCAGCCCUGGGCCCCUCAGAUCUGUGAGCCGCCCGAUGCCAGAACCCUGUGUGGAGAGUGUGUUCUGGGGCCACUUCUGCUGCUGAUGGCCCCACCGGCCAGGGCCCUGGCAGGGAGGACACGCGUCCCAGUGGCCAGAGCUUCAGGGCUGGGCCUGGUUGCAGGGGUGGGUCAGGGAAAGCCCCAGGGAGCCUUGUGCAGGGAUUUGGGCCGCGGGGAGGCGGACAAUACCCCUCCCAGGCGUGAAGGAGGAAGAGGGCCUGAGACCUCUGACCCCACCACAGACCCCGUCCAGGUUGUGCAUAGAACAGACCCAAGCGGAAGCCAAGGCCAGGCAGAGGAGCUGGAUGCCUCCACACACCUGGGCCUGACCCCAGCCCAGCACAGGGAGGGGUGGCAGUGGGACUGGGCUCGAGGGCUCAGUGGGGGGCAGAGGAGGAGGGAGAGGAGCCCGGCCUGUCUCAGGGCCACAGGGGAGUCGAGGGGCAGCAGAGAGGGAGGCCGUCCUGAGCCUGGGACCCUCACCUGCAGCCCAGAGUGGGCACGGGGUCAGCUUGGGCAGUGGGGGGUGUGGAGGGAGGGCAGCCCCUGGCCUGAUGCAGCCUCGUGAGUGCCCCAGCCUAAGAGAGGCCCUGGGUGCAGCUGUCGGGGUGCGUAUACCCCUGCUUAGAUGUCACCACGGAGGACAACACCUGCUCUUCCUCUUGGGGUGCAGCCCAAGCACCAGACACCAGGUCAGAAAUCCCCCUGGAGCCUCCCGGGCUGGGGCCCAGCUGGGUUGGCACAGGAGAGGGGCCGCCUGUAGGAUGGUCUGAGUGGCCCUUCUCACCAGGACCGAGGUGGCUUCAGACAGCCCCGCGAGGUGGCCAGAGCCCCGUUGCCUGCCCUUGUGCCCAGCAGGGCCUGCCUGGGCCUCAGCGCCAGCUCGUAGAGCAGUGGGCCCCCAGGCAAGGUUGUGCAUUGGAGCCAUGCGGGAGGGGCCCGCGGGUGCCAGCAUUGCCCCAGCUCCUGCCUCCAGCCCAGACCACUGCCCUCAGGAGAGCAGCCCUGGGCCGGUGGCAGUGGCAGCCGGGCUUCUCCAUCAGGGAGGCUCGUCCACCCAUCAGCCUUGGGCAGGAUGGCCUGGCCUUGAGCAAGAUCCACUCAAGGGUUCAGGGAUGAGUGUCUGCAGGGGACCGGGGCCCCAUCUCGGCAGGAGUGCUGGUCAGCGCCAGAGCUGGUAGGGCUCUUCUUGGCCUACUGUCCUGUCCAGCAGCCACGCCCACGAGCUCUGGCCACGUCCUGUGACAGCCAGCUGUGAAGCAGGACUGUGUCACCCACACCUGGUGAGCCCCUCGGAAGGAGACUGGCUCUUCUGAGCUCACCCCUCAGAGGGGCUGCCCACCCUAGUGUCUGUGACCGAGAGUCACCCGUAGCACCCCAUGGGUCCCUUGAAGAGGAAGGAGUGAGUGGGUCCCGGUCCUUGCAGGCAGUGGGUCAAGAGCAGGUCCGGGAAUGAGGCCAGCCUACGCUCUGAUGAGGGAAAAGCUCCAGUGAGGUUCUCGAGUUGACAGAGCAGGAGAGGAGGUGAAGCAGAAGAGAGUGCGGUGUGCCUUAAUCAGUCUACGGCGCUUUACACCCCACUCAGAGGUUUGCGAACUCACUCAGCAAACACUGAUGGAGGGUCUGUGCGCCCGUCAGCCCAGUGGCCUUCCUGACCCCUCCACGGAGGCCUCUCCCUUGUCUUUCUAGCACAUCGACCUGGUUUGCCUUUUUAAGAAAAUAACACCUUUAUGGAGGUACAAUUGACACAAUAAACGGCACUGUUUAAAACGUA